rnacentral:rRNA from 1 species
CUACGUGCCAGCAGCCGCGGUAAUACGUAGGUGGCAAGCGUUGUCCGGAAUUAUUGGGCGUAAAGCGCGCGCAGGCGGAUAGGUCAGUCUGUCUUAAAAGUUCGGGGCUUAACCCCGUGAUGGGAUGGAGACUGCUGAUCUAGAGUAUCGGAGAGGAAAGUGGAAUUCCUAGUGUAGCGGUGAAAUGCGUAGAUAUUAGGAAGAACACCAGUGGCGAAGGCGACUUUCUGGACGAAAACUGACGCUGAGGCGCGAAAGCCAGGGGAGCGAACGGGAUUAGAUACCCUGGUAGUCCACGCCGUAAACGAUGAGUGCUAGGUGUUAGACCCUUUCCGGGGUUUAGUGCCGCAGCUAACGCAUUAAGCACUCCGCCUGGGGAGUACGACCGCAAGGUUGAAACUCAAAGGAAUUGACGGGGGCCCGCACAAGCGGUGGAGCAUGUGGUUUAAUUCGAAGCAACGCGAAGAACCUUACCAGGUCUUGACAUCCC